rnacentral:rRNA from 1 species
UACGUAGGCAGCGAGCGUUGUUCGGAGUUACUGGGCGUAAAGGGUGUGUAGGCGGUUGUUUAAGUUUGGUGUGAAAUCUCCCGGCUCAACUGGGAGGGUGCGCCGAAUACUGAAUGACUAGAGUGCGGGAGAGGAAAGUGGAAUUCCUGGUGUAGCGGUGAAAUGCGUAGAUAUCAGGAGGAACACCGGUGGCGAAGGCGGCCCUCUGGCUCGACCCUGACGCUGAGAGGCGAAAGCGUGGGGAGCGAACGGG